UGGGGAAUAUUGCACAAUGGAGGGAACUCUGAUGCAGCGACGCCGCGUGAACGAAGAAGGCUUUCGAGUCGUAAUGUUCUUUUAUAUGGGAAGAUAAUGACGGUACCAUAAGAAAAAGCCCCGGCUAACUACGUGCCAGCAGCCGCGGUAAUACGUAGGGGGCUAGCGUUGUCCGGAAUCACUGGGCGUAAAGGGUUCGCAGGCGGAAAUGCAAGUCAGGUGUAAAAGGCAGUAGCUUAACUACUGUAAGCAUUUGAAACUGCAUAUCUUGAGAAGAGUAGAGGUAAGUGGAAUUUUUAGUGUAGCGGUGAAAUGCGUAGAUAUUAAAAAGAAUACCGGUGGCGAAGGCGACUUACUGGGCUCAUUCUGACGCUGAGGAACGAAAGCGUGGGUAGCAAACAGG
rnacentral:rRNA from 1 species